GCAUAUCAAUAAGCGGAGGAAAAGAAACCAACAGGGAUUGCUCUAGUAACGGCGAGUGAAGCAGCAAUAGCUCAAAUUUGAAAUCUGGCGUCUUCGACGUCGAGUUGUAAUUUGUAGAGGAUGCUUCUGAGUGGCCACCGACCUAAGUUCCUUGGAACAGGACGUCAUAGAGGGUGAGAAUCCCGUAUGCGGUCGGAAAGGCGCUCUAUACGUAGCUCCUUCGACGAGUCGAGUUGUUUGGGAAUGCAGCUCUAAAUGGGAGGUAAAUUUCUUCUAAAGCUAAAUAUUGGCCAGAGACCGAUAGCGCACAAGUAGAGUGAUCGAAAGAUGAAAAGCACUUUGGAAAGAGAGUUAAAAAGCACGUGAAAUUGUUAAAAGGGAAGGGAUUGCAACCAGACUUGCUCGCGGUGUUCCGCCGGUCUUCUGACCGGUCUACUCGCCGCGUUGCAGGCCAGCAUCGUCUGGUGCCGCUGGAUAAGACUUGAGGAAUGUAGCUCCCUCGGGAGUGUUACAGCCUCUUGUGAUGCAGCGAGCGCCGGGCGAGGUCCGCGCUUCGGCUAGGAUGCUGGCGUAAUGGUCGUAAUCCCGCCCGUCUUGAAACACGGACC
rnacentral:rRNA from 1 species